AAUAUUGGGUCAAUGGGCGCAAGCCUGAACCAGCCAUGCCGCGUGCAGGAAGACUGCCCUAUGGGUUGUAAACUGCUUUAUACAGGAAGAAACACUCGGACGUGUCCGAGCUUGACGGUACUGUAAGAAUAAGGAUCGGCUAACUCCGUGCCAGCAGCCGCGGUAAUACGGAGGAUCCAAGCGUUAUCCGGAAUCAUUGGGUUUAAAGGGUCCGUAGGUGGAUUAGUAAGUCAGAGGUGAAAGCCUGCAGCUCAACUGUAGAACUGCCUUUGAUACUGCUAGUCUUGAGUCAUUAUGAAGUGGUUAGAAUGUGUAGUGUAGCGGUGAAAUGCAUAGAUAUUACACAGAAUACCGAUUGCGAAGGCAGAUCACUAAUAAUGUACUGACACUGAUGGACGAAAGCGUGGGGAGCGAACAGGAUUAGAUACCCUGGUAG
rnacentral:rRNA from 1 species